rnacentral:misc_RNA from 1 species
GAUGAAGAACGUAGCGAAAUGCGAAAAGUAAUGUGAAUUGCAGAAUUCAGUGAAUCAUCGAAUCUUUGAACGCACAUUGCGCCCGCCAGUAUUCUGGCGGGCAUGCCUGUCUGAGCGUCAUUUCAACCCUCACGCCCCUAGGGCGUGGUGUUGGGGAUCGGCCAAGGCCCGCAAGGGACGGCCGGCCCCUAAAUCUAGUGGCGGACCCAUCGUGGCCUCCCCUGCGAAGUAGUAAUAUAUUCCGCAUCGGAUAGCGAUGAGCCCCUGCCGUUAAACCCCCAACUCUUUCAAGGUUGACCUCAGAUCAGGUAGGAAUACCCGCUGAACUUAAGCAUAUCAAUAAGCGGAGG